rnacentral:rRNA from 1 species
AAUUUUCCACAAUGGACGAAAGUCUGAUGGAGCAACGCCGCGUGAACGAUGAAGGUCUUCGGAUUGUAAAGUUCUGUUGUCAGGGACGAACAAGUACCGUUCGAACAGGGCGGUACCUUGACGGUACCUGACGAGAAAGCCACGGCUAACUACGUGCCAGCAGCCGCGGUAAUACGUAGGUGGCAAGCGUUGUCCGGAUUUAUUGGGCGUAAAGCGCGCGCAGGCGGCUAUGUAAGUCUGGUGUUAAAGCCCGGGGCUCAACCCCGGUUCGCAUCGGAAACUGUGUAGCUUGAGUGCAGAAGAGGAAAGCGGUAUUCCACGUGUAGCGGUGAAAUGCGUAGAGAUGUGGAGGAACACCAGUGGCGAAGGCGGCUUUCUGGUCUGUAACUGACGCUGAGGCGCGAAAGCGUGGGGAGCAAACAGG